CCUACGGGAGGCAGCAGUGAGGAAUAUUGGUCAAUGGACGAGAGUCUGAACCAGCCAAGCCGCGUGAAGGAUGACUGCCCUCUGGGUUGUAACCUUCUUUUAUAUGGGAAUAAAUUGUUCCAUGUGAGGGAUUUUGUAUGUAUCAUAUGAUUCAGGAACGGCUAACUCGGUGCCAGCAGCCGCGGUAAUACGGAGGAACUGAGCGUUAUCCGGAUUUAUUGGGGUUAAAGGGUGCGUAGGCGGUAAGUUAAGUUAGUGGUAAAACGUAGGGGUUACACCUUGAUUGGCCAUUAAAACUGGAGUACUAGAGUACAGAAGAGGUAGGCGGAAUAAGUUAAGUAGCGGUAAAAUGCGUAGAGAUAAAUUAGAACACUCAUAGCGAAGGCAGCUUACCAGACCGUUACUGACGCUGAAGCACGAGAGCGUGGGUAGCGAACAGGAUUAGAUACCCGAGUAGUC
rnacentral:rRNA from 1 species